rnacentral:rRNA from 1 species
AGCGAACGCUGGCGGCAGGCCUAACACAUGCAAGUCGAACGAACUCUUCGGAGUUAGUGGCGGACGGGUGAGUAACACGUGGGAACGUGCCUUUAGGUUCGGAAUAACUCAGGGAAACUUGUGCUAAUACCGAAUGUGCCCUUCGGGGGAAAGAUUUAUCGCCUUUAGAGCGGCCCGCGUCUGAUUAGCUAGUUGGUGAGGUAAAGGCUCACCAAGGCGACGAUCAGUAGCUGGUCUGAGAGGAUGAUCAGCCACAUUGGGACUGAGACACGGCCCAAACUCCUACGGGAGGCAGCAGUGGGGAAUCUUGCGCAAUGGGCGAAAGCCUGACGCAGCCAUGCCGCGUGAAUGAUGAAGGUCUCAGGAUUGUAAAAUUCUUUCACCGGGGACGAUAAUGACGGUACCCGGAGAAGAAGCCCCGGCUAACUUCGUG